rnacentral:rRNA from 1 species
AGUCACUGACAUUAGAUACCCGGGUAGUCCCAGCCGUAAACAAUGUGCGUUAGGUAUGUCGGUAACCACGUGUUACUGAUGUGCCGAAGAGAAAUCGUGAAACGCACCACCUGGGAAGUACGGUCGCAAGGCUGAAACUUAAAGGAAUUGGCGGGGGAGCACCACAACGCGUGGAGCCUGCGGUUUAAUUGGAUUCAACGCCGGACAUCUCACCAGAGGCGACAGCUGUAUGAUAGCCAGGUUGAUGACUUUGCUUGACUAGCUG